UUAAAUGUGGAAACUAGAUUGUAAGCCUAUUGUCUGAUUCACACUCCGAAGCAGAAGGUGGCGGUAAUGCACCAAAAGCUGGUUGCCAACCGCCGUUAAAAACAAAGAAGAAGAAGAAGAAGAAGAAGAAGUGUUUGAAAGACUUCUGGAUUCUGUUCCUGCAGCACAAGAUCGUCUGAACUACUGCAAGUCAUGAUGAGCAUCUGAUCGUCUUCAGAGACACAAAGAUCUCAGUGUUGAGCUGUUCAUCUGCAGUCUGUCAGAGAAGAGAGGAAAGAUGAGUCUCUCACAGAAACAGAGAAAACAACUAUCUUGAAGAGCAACAGCACUUUCAAAAAAGGAAAACUCAAAAAAUAUAUUUGUUCAAAUCAAAACAUGAACGUGAUAGUUCCCUAUCAAUCCUUGACUUGUACUGCAUCGAUAGACUCUUUUGGGGAAAACUCCUUUUUCUCAGAGGACUGAAGACUUAUUCAAUCACGCAGUAUAACUGCACAACCAUUGGUUCACGCAGUGAUUAUAAAAAUGAACCAAUGACUAUGAUUGAGCCAGAAUAAAAGUUAUGCCUUCUUUCUUUGUGUGAACACCUGGGCGGAGUUAUGCAAAUCUUCCCACGUAGUGAUGUAGAGAUGUGGGGCGUGUUUGAACGAGGUGUUUCAGGGGGAUGUGGACGAGCCUUAACUUUUAUAAAGAAUAUCUCUUUUGAUUUGAGACUUUAGUUUUUGCAAGUUUACAGAUCUUCUUUAUGCUCCCCUAAGAGCUUGUAACACUCCACAGAGACAGGAAUAAUUGAAAUCACAUCAUAUGACCCCUUUUAAUAUCACUGUUGAAAAAUGAGUUGUGCUAUUUUAUUUAGGUUUUUAUGAAUAUAAUUUCAAAAGAACAAUGUUUAUUUGAAAUAGAAUUCAUCAUAAAUGUCAAUACUGUCACUUUCAAUCUUUUUAAAGCAUCCUUGCUGAAUAAAAGUAAUUGAAGUCUAUUCAUGCUAACAGCAAACCUUUAAAUGGGUAUAUUUAUUAGGAGUUCGGGAGUCAGUUCGGGAGUUCGGAGCGGGUCUGCGAAUCAUUUGAGUCAGUUCGCGGAUCGCGAAUCAUUUGAGUAAGUUUGGGAGUUCGAAGCUGGAUAGCGAAUCAUUUGAGUCAGUUCGGGGAUCGCGAAUCAUUUUGAAUCCAUUCGAAAGUUCGGAGCGGGUUCGCGAAUCAUUUGAGUCAGUUUGGGGAUAGCGAAUCAUUUUAGUCAGUUCGGGAGUUCAAAGCGGGUUCGCGAAUCAUUUGAGUCAGUUUGGGGAGCGCGAAUCAUUUGAAUCAAUUCGAGAGUUCGGAGCGAGUUCGCGAAUCAUUUGAGUCGGUUCGGGAGUUCGGAGCGGGAUCGCGAAUCAUUUGAGUCAGUUCGGGAGUUCGUAGCGGGUUCGCGAAUCAUUUGAGUCAGUUUGGGAAUCGCGAAUCAUUUGAGUCAGUCUGGGGAUCGUGAAUCAUAGCUGUAUAUGGAUAGGAAUUUUAACUAAUUUAGUAGCUAGUUCUAAUUACGUUUUCCACGUGUGUUUAGGUGCGAUAUGUGAACUCGUAUUUUUUGUUUUAAAAAUGUGUUAUUUUUAAAUUACUGGGUUAAAAACUGGACACCAUAUAUAUUUUGUUUUUGAGCAACAUACAGAAUGUUAGAAAGAUAAUUAGUUUAUUUAUUAAUUUUUUUAUUUGUU